rnacentral:misc_RNA from 1 species
GAUGAAGAACGUAGCGAAAUGCGAUAAGUAGUGUGAAUUGCAUAAUUCAGUGAAUCAUCGAAUCUUUGAACGCACAUUGCGCCCCUUGGUAUCCCGAGGGGCAUGCCUGUUCGAGCGUCAUUUCACCACUCAAGCCUGGCUUGGUGUUGGGCGACGUCCCCUUUGGGGACGCGCCUCGAAACGCUCGGCGGCGUGGCACCGGCUUUAAGCGUAGCAGAAUCUUUCGCUUUGGAAGUCGGGGCCCCGUCUGCCGGAAGACCUGCUCGCAAGGUUGACCUCGGAUCAGGCAGGGAUACCCGCUGAACUUAAGCAUAUCAAUAAGCGGAGGA